AUUCCAGCUCCAAUAGCGUAUAUUUAAGUUGCUGCAGUUAAAAAGCUCGUAGUUGGAUUUCGGAUGGGUUCCGUCGGUCCGCCUCACGGUGUGCACUGGCGGCGCCCAUCUUGCUGUCGGGGACGGGCUCCUGGGCUUAACUGUCCGGGACUCGGAGUCGACGAGGUUACUUUGAGUAAAUUAGAGUGUUCAAAGCAGGCCUACGCUCUGAAUACAUUAGCAUGGAAUAACACGAUAGGACUCUGGCCUAUCUUGUUGGUCUGUAGGACCGGAGUAAUGAUUAAGAGGGACAGUCGGGGGCAUUCGUAUUUCAUUGUCAGAGGUGAAAUUCUUGGAUUUAUGAAAGACGAACUACUGCGAAAGCAUUUGCCAAGGAUGUUUUCAUUG
rnacentral:rRNA from 1 species